AUUAAACGCUGGCGGCAUGCCUUACACAUGCAAGUCGAACGGCAGCACGGGGGCAACCCUGGUGGCGAGUGGCGGACGGGUGAGUAAAGCAUCGGAACGUAUCCUGGAGUGGGGGAUAACGUAGCGAAAGUUACGCUAAUACCGCAUAUUCUGUGAGCAGGAAAGCAGGGGAUCGCAAGACCUUGCGCUCUGGGAGCGGCCGAUGUCGGAUUAGCUAGUUGGUGGGGUAAAGGCCUACCAAGGCGACGAUCCGUAGCGGGUCUGAGAGGAUGAUCCGCCACACUGGGACUGAGACACGGCCCAGACUCCUACGGGAGGCAGCAGUGGGGAAUUUUGGACAAUGGGCGGAAGCCUGAUCCAGCCAUGCCGCGUGAGUGAAGAAGGCCUUCGGGUUGUAAAGCUCUUUCGGCGGGGAAGGAAAUUAGCACGGGUUAAUACCCUGUGUAGAUGACGGUACCCGAAUAAGAAGACACCGGCUAACUACGUGCCAGCAGCCGCGGUAAU
rnacentral:rRNA from 1 species